GGACAGAGAUAUAACUAGGAAAGAGAUAACCGUAACAGUAUUUUCAGCCUAAAGAGAAUAUGGAGUGCUCCGGGCAACUGGCAUAAACUAAAGACUCGUGAGCUGACUGGCUUUUAGACUAUUUCUUGAGUUCUUCACUCCCAGUUUAAGUUAAUUGCACUACUUCCAUUGAUUUUAUGUCCUCAAAGGCCACAAUUGAUCAGCCAAAAAGUGCCACAAUCUGAAGUGGUAUCAUAGCUAUUCCAUUCUAAGUUACUAACACACUUGCUUUCAAACUGUACAUCCAAAGAUGCUUUUGCACUCUUUAAAAUUUCAGUACAUUUCUUGUAAUGGGGGUUCCCACUCCCCUAUUUUUGCAUACUGCAACAUGAGAAUAUGUGACAAAAUUCCAGAUAACUAGCAACGAAUAAACAGUCUCGUUUCCCACAAAAAA